AAAAAGACAAACCCUGGUUUCCGUGUCCAACGUUUGACCGUCCGUCUUAUUUGAAAAAAUUAUGAAAGAAAUUAAAAAGACAAGUCACGCAUAAAAUAUUAAUCAUGUUUUAUCAUCUAACAACAAUGAAAAUACGAAUUAUAAAAAAAUUUCAUAUAAGACGGACAGUUAAAGUUGGACACGGAAAUAUAGGGUUUGACUUUUU
rfam:Oryza sativa Japonica Group DNA, chromosome 5, cultivar: Nipponbare, complete sequence.